GACGAACGCUGGCGGCGUGCUUAACACAUGCAAGUCGAACGCUGAAGCUCAGCUUUUGUUGGGUGGAUGAGUGGCGAACGGGUGAGUAACACGUGAGUAACCUGCCUCCUUCUUUGGGAUAACGCCCGGAAACGGGUGCUAAUACUGGAUAUUCACUGGUCUUCGCAUGGGGGUUGGUGGAAAGGGUUUUUCUGGUGGGGGAUGGGCUCGCGGCCUAUCAGCUUGUUGGUGGGGUGAUGGCCUACCAAGGCUUUGACGAGUAGCCGGCCUGAGAGGGUGACCGGUCACAUUGGGACUGAGAUACGGCCCAGACUCCUACGGGAGGCAGCAGUGGGGAAGAUUGCACAAUGGGCGCAAGCCUGAUGCAGCGACGCCGCGUGAGGGAUGGAGGCCUUCGGGUUGUGAACCUCUUUCGCUCAUGGUCAAGCCGCAACAAUGGUUGUGGUGAGGGUAGUGGGUAAAGAAGCGCCGGCUAACUACGUG
rnacentral:rRNA from 1 species